UAUGAUCCUUAACUUCAUUAUUAUCCAGUGGUCUACAGUGUCUUUAAUGCUAUGAUCAUUGCUGCCAUUCAUCCACUGGAAUACUGUAGAAUGUUUAGCUAUAACACUCCAGAUGGUCCCUCUCUCUUACAAACUCUGUCUUUGUCAUCAUUUCAUAAAAUCUGGGUCUCUCCUGAUCUAGGAGUGUCUCUUAAUUCAUUGGAUCAAUGUUCCCUCCCACUCAAUGCACUGGAGACCGGAACUGAGACAUAGUGUCAUUCUUCCUUAGGAAUAGAGAAAUAUGUGCUGUAUCACGUCAUUCAAA